AGUAUUGUAAACGGGAAUACUCAUAUAAUCGCAAGAAUAAGGCUUGCGAGUUUCUACCAGAUACCUUAAAUAUCUGACUAUGAGAAUGGACUUUUAAAGG
rfam:Clostridium baratii str. Sullivan, complete genome.